GGGAUACCACACUCGAAUCGGAUAGUGCCCACCCGCACGAGAACAACUCCAUUGCAAAGGUGAUACCACAUCAAAUUUAUCACAACCCAACAAAAAUACUUAUAUUUCAUCAAUUAUCGUGCAUUUUAUCGAUUUUCAUGAUGAUAUCUCAUACUACCCCACUGAUUCUCGCAUUUUGAUUGGAUUGUUACAAGUUUGACAUAAUAUCACCAUUACAAUGAAAAUCUUCUCCACCCGCAUCAUGGCCCUGGCUUAUAUCCUCAUGAAGAGACCCACCCCAUCUCUCACCCUCCUCCUCUGUGACCGCCACCAUUGCCACCCCAUUGCCGUUUCAUCUUCACCCUCUUCCACCUCCACUAUAUCCACCGC
rnacentral:lncRNA from 1 species